GGGCCGAUGGUGUAGUUGGUUAUCACGCCUGUCUAACACGUUACGAAUUCCGUGAUGUGCACAGGCGGUCCUCAGUUCGAACCUGGGUCGGCUCA